GAUGAACGCUGGCGGCGUGCCUAAUACAUGCAAGUCGAGCGAACAGACGAGGAGCUUGCUCCUCUGACGUUAGCGGCGGACGGGUGAGUAACACGUGGAUAACCUACCUAUAAGACUGGGAUAACUUCGGGAAACCGGAGCUAAUACCGGAUAAUAUAUUGAACCGCAUGGUUCAAUAGUGAAAGACGGUUUUGCUGUCACUUAUAGAUGGAUCCGCGCCGCAUUAGCUAGUUGGUAAGGUAACGGCUUACCAAGGCAACGAUGCGUAGCCGACCUGAGAGGGUGAUCGGCCAGACGGGAAGUGAGACACGGUCCAGACUCCGACGGGAGGCAGCAGUAGGGAAUCUUCCGCAAUGGGCGAAAGCGUGACGGAGCAACGCCGCGUGAGUGAUGAAGGUCUUCGGAUCGUAAAACUCUGUUAUUAGGGAAGAACAAAUGUGUAAGUAACUAUGCACGUCUUGACGGUACCUAAUCAGAAAGCCACGGCUAACUACGUG
rnacentral:rRNA from 1 species